rnacentral:rRNA from 1 species
AGCGAACGCUGGCGGCAGGCUUAACACAUGCAAGUCGAACGGUCCUUCGGGAUAGUGGCGGACGGGUGAGUAACACGUGGGAACGUACCCUUAGGUUCGGAACAACACAGGGAAACUUGAGCUAAUACCGGAUAAGCCCUUCGGGGGAAAGAUUUAUCGCCUUUGGAGCGGCCCGCGUCUGAUUAGCUUGUUGGUGAGGUAAUGGCUCACCAAGGCUACGAUCAGUAGCUGGUCUGAGAGGAUGGCCAGCCACACUGGGACUGAGACACGGCCCAGACUCCUACGGGAGGCAGCAGUGGGGAAUCUUGCGCAAUGGGCGAAAGCCUGACGCAGCCAUGCCGAGUGGAUGAUGAAGGUCUUAGGAUUGUAAAAUCCUUUCACCGGGGACGAUAAUGACGGUACCCGGAGAAGAAGCCCCGGCUAACUUCGUGCCAGCCGCCGCAGUAA